GAGUUUGAUCCUGGCUCAGCGCGAACGUUGGCGGCGUGCCUAACACAUGCAAGUCGUGGGGCAGCAGGCUACUGUCUUUUGGCAGUAGUGCUGGCGACCGGCGAACGGGUGAGUAACACGUAGCUUACCUACCCAUAAGUUGGGGAUAACAUCCCGAAAGGGGUGCUAAUACCCAAUAAUGAGGAGACUCCAAAGCCCUUAUGGGUGCCUAUGGAUGGGGCUGCGUCCCAUCAGCUUGUUGGUGAGGUAAUGGCUCACCAAGGCUACGACGGGUAACCGGUCUGAGAGGAUAACCGGUCACAGUGGGACUGAGACACGGCCCGCACCCCUACGGGGGGCAGCAGUGGGGAAUAUUGGGCAAUGGCUGAAAGGCUGACCC
rnacentral:rRNA from 1 species